rnacentral:lncRNA from 1 species
CUAAAGAUGGUAUUCAAACUAUCUUCUCAUGGAUGUUCGUAUUGUGUACAUUAAGAUAGAUUUCCUAGCUGCUGAAUUUAUGGCAUCUGGGAUUACGUCGAAACAUGCUGAAAGAAUAUAUUAGCCUCCAACGAUCUAUAUUUGGACAUGACUUCUUCUGUAUCUUAUGUGAUUCGCCAUGCGAGGAAUAAUAUUUGCCUGAUAACUUAAGGUUGUAUCGUUAGGUUAAUGCUUUAUCCAACUUUUUGAUAAACAAGCGAUUAGUUGUAGGUUGUUCCUGUUGCUUGAAUGCGGAUGUUAGUCAUCAGUCAAGUAUGCAUAUCCUAAAUUCCAAGCCUUAACAGCACCGGAUCGACCAUGUAGGAUAAACCCAUUCGACCAAAUUUCAGUGUAAUUGCUUCCUCUUCAUAUGUGCUCUUGGGUUUUAACUCUAUUAAACCACUUUACCUACCUAAUUUCAAGAAUCUUUUGUAUGCAUGUAUAGGGGUGUUAGUGCAUUUGUACUGAGAAUUUUGUUUAGAAUUUUGAUGAAUUGAGUAGACUUCUAACCUGAGCUUCGUCAAACCAACCAACGUUUGACUAUAGGAGUGAGGCUACUGAUAGAGAAACUCAAUUUUGCAGGUGUAUAACCUGAAAUUUCCAGUGCUGGUUACCAAGAUUCAGGUCAACUAGAAAUUUCACCUCCCCCCCCGACCAUUUCAGUAUUUUAUUCCUGUUUGGCUCUUCGUUUGUGUCAAUCGAAAUUUGUGUAAAUUAUGUUAAUAAUACUGGUGUUUGUGGUAUUUGGAAUUCAAAUGAGUCUCAGUGGCUUGCUGUUAUCGGUUUUCUGUAUCCGUCAGUAAUUUCUAGCUCAAAAUUCGCUUGGUUACUUGGACUCAUGGAUUGGUUGGUGUGCUGGCUCGAUGCUAGAGUUUUAUGCUUGAGUUAUUGCAAUUAGGUACAAAAGUAAGAGAUGGUAGGGUUUAGAGCUUAUUCCAGUUUUCACUUAAUCAUUGUGUGAUCCCGUCCUUUUCUAUGCAGUAAUCAUGGCUGACAAAGAACCACUUAAUUAUUGUUUAGUGUUAUGCAUCGUGUGUUUUUCUUCAAGUUGUCAACAUCCUUUGUAGUGUAAUUAGGGGAACUGGCGGGAAACGUUUUCUGACGAUUGGUUAUUCUCUGCGUUUGUAGCUCGCCCCAUUUGAUCCUACCAAGAAGAAGAAGAAGAAGAAAAAGUCGUGAUACAUGACAUUGCAGAUGAGUAAAAGGACACGAUGGCCGAGAAAAAUGAAUCAUUUUUUUAGGUUGGUAACUUGCCAUGAUUUACUUCUGCACUAUGUUCAUGGAUUUGGGACCAAUGGUUGUGUUGUAAUUACUGAAAUACUGUUUCUAAAUUCCUAUUCUCAUGGGUGUGGUCCUUGGAUAAUUAAGGAUUCAUAUUUGUUUAACGUUACCUUGGCUAAUAGCUACGUAAUGCAAUUAUGUAAGCAUGUUGUCGUCCAUAAUUACUUCUUUCCUUAUGAAACCAUUGCAAAGGUAAACGGAAAACUCACUACAAGACAUUGAUAGUGUAAAAAUUGCAACUGCAGAACUUGUGCACAACAAGUGUAUAUCUUUUUGGGGAUAUCAGCUGCAUUGACUUAAUUUCUGAUAAGAAGAAAAUAUGUACAAUGGGCAUAUUUCGG